rnacentral:rRNA from 1 species
GACGAACGCUGGCGGCGUGCUUAACACAUGCAAGUCGAACGGAAAGGCCCUUCGGGGUACUCGAGUGGCGAACGGGUGAGUAACACGUGGGUGAUCUGCCCUGCACUUUGGGAUAAGCCUGGGAAACUGGGUCUAAUACCGAAUAUGAUCAUCGGCUUCAUGGUCGGUGGUGGAAAGCUUUUGCGGUGUGGGAUGGGCCCGCGGCCUAUCAGCUUGUUGGUGGGGUAAUGGCCUACCAAGGCGACGACGGGUAGCCGGCCUGAGAGGGUGACCGGCCACACUGGGACUGAGAUACGGCCCAGACUCCUACGGGAGGCAGCAGUGGGGAAUAUUGCACAAUGGGCGCAAGCCUGAUGCAGCGACGCCGCGUGAGGGAUGACGGCCUUCGGGUUGUAAACCUCUAUCAGCACAGACGAAGCGCAAGUGACGGUAUGUGCAGAAGAAGGACCGGCCAACUACGUG